rnacentral:rRNA from 1 species
CUGCUGCCUCCCGUAGAAGUCUGGUCCGUGUCUCAGUACCAGUGUGGGGGACCUUCCUCUCAGAACCCCUACGCAUCGUCGCCUUGGUGGGCCGUUACCCCGCCAACUAGCUAAUGCGACGCAUGACCAUCCGUAGCCGGAAUCGCUUCCUUUAAACCCGAGGAGAUGCCUCCUCGGGUUGUUACGCGGUAUUAGACGGAAUUUCUUCCGCUUAUCCCCCUGCUACGGGCAGGUUUCAUACGUGUUACUCACCCGUGCGCCGGUCGCCGGCGGGAG